UGUCCUGGGCUCUUUGAUGGGAUCUGUCUAUCCUACAUUAGGUCAAAACACCUAAGGAAUUUAAACAGUUGUUUUCAGAGGGAGUGACUGCAGUAACCAGCCUUACAGACUCAGCUGCCACUUCCCAGCUGCUGGAAGAGGUUUUCAGAGACAGUCAACUGAGUCUGGGGAUUUGUCUGAACCACCAUCUGAAAAUUAUUCAGUGCUUUCCUUGGACUUUGGCCACUACAGGCAAGAUCCAGGUCUGGACUUCCUUGGCAUACAAAGCACAGAAGAGGGGUGUCCUGGCAGCUGCGUUUUAAAGCUCUGCUUAAGUGACUGUGAAGGGCCAGAUGGACUCCAGCCCUGAAGACCUGAGUGCCCUAUUUAGUGGGGAUGCAGUGAGUUUUGGUGUGCAGGCUGUCUCAGUAUUAUUCUCCAGCCCUGGUUAGGAGCACUCCAUCCAGGCUGGAUGUCCAGAUCCAUUCGGCCAACAGACUGCAGGAACAAGUCUGGAACAGCCUUGAAGGAUGAUGGAGGAGGGAAAGCAACUCCAAGGCCCAGGAGUGAGCUAGCACAGGAAGGGAAUUCUGAGACUGCCUGUGUACAACCCCUGUUCUGCAGCCU